rnacentral:lncRNA from 1 species
CGGCCCCCCCCAGUCAGCCUAGGUUGUCUCUGGCCACCCCGGGGUGGGCUGGGGGGGAGGCGGGCAGGUUGUACCUGAUGUGAGGGAGUCAUGAGUCUUGAUCCGAGACUUCUUUUCGAUGCUUUAAGAGAGGGCACAGGAUGUGGGAGGCCCCACUUUGUCCCCAUUGGGCCACGUGGUCCCCGGGUUGGUGGGGGACAGCAGGACUUGGGGAGGGGGCUGAGGCCCCAGUUCCGCAAGGUGACCCAUAGUGUCCUCGCCAACUUCCCGAGGGCCCCACAGUCAACUGGUCACCUGAAAGGGGGGACCCUCACCCUGGGGAUGGUUCCAUCUUGGUACACUGGAGGUCCUUUGUGCCAGCAACGGUAUCCGGGCAGCAUCGGGUUCCGAGCUCCGAGCCACCGAGCGCUUGUCUUGGGGGAGGUCCCCAUCCUGCCAGCAGUGCAGGCCUCCCCCAGCGCCUCCUGCUGCGCCUGGCUCAGGUGGAACAGCCAUUGCGAUGUGUGUCCUCACGGUGGCCAGAGCGGUGGGCUUUGUCCCCAUUCUCUGCAGGAGAGGGGCGGGGCCUCCCAGCCGCCCAGCUUGAGGGACCCUUGAAGAUGGCCUUUCCACACCGGCCUGGAAACUGGCGCUGUGGUUCCGAGGACAGCUACCAAAAAUAAAGGGAGGGAAGGAGUAAGGAAGGAAAAGAAAAGAGAGAGAGAAAAGAGGAAAGUCUCCAUGGACUGUUAUGCAGUGUUCUCUCCAGGAUAUAUCAUUACAAAACAAGAAGACGGGCUGGCCCCGUGGCCCAGUGGUGAAGUGCGCGCACUCUGCUCUGGCGGCCCAGGGUUUCUCUGGUUCGGAUCUUGGGCACGGACAUCGCACCGCUCAUCAAGCCACGCUGAAAUGGCAUCCCACAUGCCGCACACAACUGGAAGGACCCACAACUAAAAAUACACAACUAUGUAUCAGGGGGUUUGGGAGAAGAAGGAAAAAUCAAAUCUUUUUAAAAAAAACACAAGAAGACAGAGAUAUAUGUAAUGC